CGCGGUAAUACGAAGGGUGCAAGCGUUACUCGGAAUUAUUGGGCGUAAAGCGCGCGUAGGCGGCCGUUUAAGUCUCACUGUGAAAUCGGGGGGCUCAACCCUCACGACUGCAGGGGAUACUGGGCGGCUGGAGAUAGGUAGAGGCGAGCGGAAUUCCGGGUGUAGCGGUGGAAUGCGUAGAGAUCCGGAAGAACACCAGAGGCGAAGGCGGCUCGCUGGACCUCAUCUGACGCUGAGGUGCGAAAGCGUGGGGAGCGAACAG
rnacentral:rRNA from 1 species